rnacentral:rRNA from 1 species
GGAGUUAGCCGGUGCUUCUUCUGUGAGUGAUGUCCUUCCUGCCGGCUAUUAACCCGCAGGCCUUCUUCCUCACUGAAAGUGCUUUACAACCCGAAGGCCUUCUUCACACACGCGGCAUGGCUGGAUCAGGGUUGCCCCCAUUGUCCAAUAUUCCCCACUGCUGCCUCCCGUAGGAGUCUGGGCCGUGUCUCAGUCCCAGUGUGGCUGAUCAUCCUCUCAGACCAGCUACGGAUCGUCGCCUUGGUGAGCCGUUACCUCACCAACCAGCUAAUCCGACAUAGGCUCAUCCGAUAGCGCGAGGCCCGAAGGUCCCCCGCUUUCCCCCGUAGGGCGUAUGCGGUAUUAGCCUGGGUUUCCCCCAGGUUAUCCCCCACUACCGGGCAGAUUCCUAUGCAUUACUCACCCGUCCGCCGCUCGCCACCAGGGAGCAAGCUCCCCGUGCUGCCGCUCGACUUGCAUGUGUAGCGUCGCCGCCACGCGUUCAUACUACGAACCAAGAUACAACUUACUGA